rnacentral:rRNA from 1 species
GAAACUCAAAUGAAUUGACGGGACCCGCACAAGCGGUGGAUGAUGUGGUUUAAUUCGAUGCAACGCGAAAAACCUUACCCACCUUUGACAUGGCAGGAAUCCCGAAGAGAUUUGGGAGUGCUCGAAAGAGAACCUGCACACAGGUGCUGCAUGGCUGUCGUCAGCUCGUGUCGUGAGAUGUUGGGUUAAGUCCCCGCAACGAGCGCAACCCCUUGCCAUUAGUUGCUACGAAAGGGCACUCUAAUGGGACUGCCGGUGACAAACCGGAGGAAGGUGGGGAUGACGUCAAGUCCUCAUGGCCCUUAUAGGUGGGGCUACGCACGUCAUACAAUGGCCGGUACAGAGGGUAGCCAACCCGCGAGGGGGAGCCAAUCCCACAAAGCCGGUCGUAGUCCGGAUCGCAGUCUGCAACUCGACUGCGUGAAGUCGGAAUCGCUAGUAAUCGCGGAUCAGCAUGUCGCGGUGAAUACGUUCCCGGGUCUU